AAAAUGGAUGAUUUUAUUAUAUAAAAUCAUGUUGGCAGAAUAUAGAAAAGUUACUUCUCUUUUACCGUUACAUAUUUAAGUACUAAGCAAAAUGCAACAGUUGGAAAAACUCAUGACAAACUACCAAUAGUUUUUCAUUUGGCAAAAUUAUUCAAGUUACAAAAUGCCAAAGUAAAUAAAUGCACUUCAAAAUACAUGAAGUGUAAUACAAGUGUAUGAAAGUAGUGAUCUGUAGGUCAGUUGACUGCUAUAGACCCAGGUCCCUAUAAAAUCAUCUGGACUAUACCAAAAGAACUUGGUAUAGACAUAAAAACAAACUUCACUGUUAUUCAAAGGUGAGAAAACUUAUUCAUUAUGAAGGAAAGGGAAAUAAUUAUACCUGCAACAGGGCAAAAAUUUAUAUACUAAAAUGAUUAAAUGUAUCCGUAGCAUAAAAUUAAAAUAAUUGCUUCUAAAUAAUUCUUUUGCACUUUAGUAAAU
rnacentral:lncRNA from 1 species